UAGAAGAAGGAAAGGGAUUGGAAACGCAUCACAUGAUGCUCUAUCAAUUGUACGUGUGACGUCAUAACAUGAUUUUAGAGGCUAUAGUUGCGCUUGUUGAGCUACUGGAAAGCUGGUAACUCGCCCACUGUCUGAGGCGUUGAUCGUUUUAUGAGAAACUCCAGCUAUGUAUUGGGUAGUCAACACCCACAGGGCUAUGCUGAGCCAUAGCAGACUACCUACAGACUCUUAGCUACUGAGUUACAAGGAGUUUUCUCUUGGAUUUCUGCUGUAUUGACAUGGGGAACCUGAAGAGGGAAUAUGGAAUGCUAGACAAAGAUAGAAGUGGUCCUUUCAAGUCAAGCCAAGGAGAACUUGUGAUAAAUCGAGCAUUUAUGUAGUAGAUAUAGCUAUAUCCAAAUCAAUCUUUACCAACAUACAUGUGCUAAGUACGUAGUAUAAGCAUUGUUCAAUGUCACACAUAAAUGAUAAAAUUGUUGUAUAAUUA